rnacentral:lncRNA from 1 species
CUUUCAGAACUUGUGCCCAAUAUGACCUCAUCCCUGAUGCCUUUCUAUAACUGUCAGAGUUGAUUUCCCCACUGAACUCACUAAAUUCCCUGUUAGAUGGUUGUAGAUGUUAAAGGAAACUGCUUGGCACCAGUACUGCAUUAGAACAUUGAGACUUGCUAGUUCCUAUGGUGCUGUCUAGGUAAACAUGGACCCGUGGAUGUCAUGUGUGUGCUACGUAACUCCAGAGCGGUUCAGUUGUCAGAGAAGGUGUCAAAGAAGAGGUUAACACCUGAGCAGGGUUCAGAGAAUUUAUAGGUAUUUGUCAGGUGGGGUUGGUGUUUUGCUACAUACUCUUUCUGCCCAUCCACCAACUUGAAUACUUCCUGAAAGGGACAGGCCCCUGUCUUCGUCCUCUCUCCAUCCCUCUGCAGCUACUCAAUUCCAGUUUGGGGAGUGAAUGUUUCCUCCAUGCCUCAU